rnacentral:rRNA from 1 species
UACGGGGGGGGCAAGCGUUGUUCGGAAUUACUGGGCGUAAAGGGUGCGUAGGCGGUUCGUUAAGUUGGAUGUGAAAACUCUGGGCUCAACCCAGAGCCUGCAUCCGAAACUGGCGGGCUAGAGUUCUGGAGGGGGUAGCGGAAUUCCUGGUGUAGCGGUGAAAUGCGUAGAUAUCAGGAGGAACACCGGUGGCGAAGGCGGCUACCUGGACAGAAACUGACGCUGAGGCACAAAAGCUAGGGGAGCAAACAGG